CAGAGGGACGAAACUGACCAGCUUGAGACCUCUGUGGAUGGCCUGAAUCCAACAUUCACACAACUUGGUCUCCUCAACAGGGUUGAAGAGUGUCAAGCAUCACCUGGUGUGCACAACAAUAUCCUCCUUGGACAAGUAUGUUCAAUGUUUGGGACCUGUAUCCUCCUUCAAGUGGCGUGGCUAUGAAUGCAGAGAUAAGAUAUUUCGUGGAUUGGUACAAAGUGCGUCUUGGGGUAUUAGGUCGGUAUAUUUGCUGUGUUCAAAUGUACAAACCAUUCUAUAAUGAAACACUUAUGACAAAUAAUCCUUAAUUCACAGCAUAGGAUGCUAUAUCAACUAUUUCCAAAAUUGUGAAGUUUAAGUAUAUCAUUGAAAUUACUUAAAAGUGUUUUAUUUUUGCCUUAUUGGUACUGACAAGAUCUCUUAUGGUUUAAUGCUAGAGGUUCUUUUCCAAUACACCAGCUGUUACACUUAAAAGUGUAAACAUGGGCAACAAUUAUCUCUAUAAAAGGGGACAUUUUUGCAUGUUCAUGUAUUCCAGAUCUCUGUAUUGCUCUGACAGGAACAACUGUGGUAUUUAAACUUGUACUAUAUAUUCAAAAUGUCUUCCAGUUUGUUCUGGCAUCAAUCCUCAGAAGAGUUACAAAUGAUAACCAACACCCAUCACAGUUUCUGGAGUGCAUGUCCGAUGAGGAAUGCACACCGGAUUCGGAAACACAAGAUGACGACGAUGAUGAUUAUGAUGAUGAUGAUUCCGAUGCAAGCAUCCCCAUUACGCCUCAUCAGUUGA